rnacentral:tRNA from 1 species
GCGACAACUAGCUCAGCUGGUAGAGCGCAACCUUGCCAAGGUUGAGGUCACGAGUUCGAACCUCGUGUGUCGCUCCA